GCCCCCGUAGUUCAACGGUUAGAACGAGGGACUCCUAAGCCCUAGAUAGUGGUUCAAUUCCCCUCGGGGGCA
rnacentral:tRNA from 1 species